GCCCCCUUUCUUUCUCAAAUGGCUUUGGCGC
rnacentral:piRNA from 1 species